AAAAUGAUGAUGAUGAUGAUAAUGACAUGUUUCCAGUGGAAUAUGCAAGAGAAGCAGAUGUGUGUGUCUGUGUAUGCAGAUUUCAGUCUUCCUCUGCCCGGGAGUACCAGAAUAAACAUAUUCCCUGAGCUCAA